rnacentral:rRNA from 1 species
GGUGACGAGCGGCGGACGGGUGAGUAAUGUCUGGGAAACUGCCUGAUGGAGGGGGAUAACUACUGGAAACGGUAGCUAAUACCGCAUAACGUCGCAAGACCAAAGUGGGGGACCUUCGGGCCUCAUGCCAUCAGAUGUGCCCAGAUGGGAUUAGCUAGUAGGUGGGGUAAUGGCUCACCUAGGCGACGAUCCCUAGCUGGUCUGAGAGGAUGACCAGCCACACUGGAACUGAGACACGGUCCAGACUCCUACGGGAGGCAGCAGUGGGGAAUAUUGCACAAUGGGCGCAAGCCUGAUGCAGCCAUGCCGCGUGUAUGAAGAAGGCCUUCGGGUUGUAAAGUACUUUCAGCGAGGAGGAAGGCGUUAAGGUUAAUAACCUUGGCGAUUGACGUUACUCGCAGAAGAAGCACCGGCUAACUCCGUGCCAGCAGCCGCGGUAAUACGGAGGGUGCAAGCGUUAAUCGGAAUUACUGGGCGUAAAGCGCACGCAGGCGGUCUGUCAAGUCGGAUGUGAAAUCCCCGGGCUCAACCUGGGAACUGCAUUCGAAACUGGCAGGCUAGAGUCUUGUAGAGGGGGGUAGAAUUCCAGGUGUAGCGGUGAAAUGCGUAGAGAUCUGGAGGAAUACCGGUGGCGAAGGCGG